GCCCCCGUGGCCCAACCGGCAGAGGCAGGCGGCUUAAACCCGCCCAAGUGCGGGUUCGAAUCCCGCCGGGGGCA
rnacentral:tRNA from 3 species